ACUACAAACCGGGUUAUCGCGCGCAUGGCAGCAUGCGUGAGGAAAGUCCGGACAGCGGAGAACAGCGUACCGGCUAACUGCCGGGGCCCGAAAGGGUACAGAUAGUGCCACAGAAAAUAACCGUCCUGGCCAUAAACCGGGAUAAGGGUGAAAACGUAGGGUAAGAGCCUACGCUAUAGCGUGGUAACACGAUAUAGGGGUAAACCUUACGCGCUGAAAUGCCAAAUAGGUGUACGAUUGAGGGCUGUUCGCCCGAUGUGCAUGGGUUGGCAGCUAGAGGUGACGCGCAAGCGGCUCCCGAGAUAAAUGAUAGCCGCCCCGGACGACCAUCCGGGGACACAGGAUCCGGCUUACAGGUUUGUAGUUGUU
rnacentral:RNase_P_RNA from 1 species